GACGAACGCUGGCGGCGCGCCUAACGCAUGCAAGUCGAACGAGCGAGAGAGAGCUUGCUUUCUCGAGCGAGUGGCGAACGGGUGAGUAACGCGUGAGGAACCUGCCUCAAAGAGGGGGACAACAGUUGGAAACGACUGCUAAUACCGCAUAAGCCCACGGUGCCGCAUGGCACAGAGGGAAAAGGAGCAAUCCGCUUUGAGAUGGCCUCGCGUCCGAUUAGCUAGUUGGUGAGGUAAUGGCCCACCAAGGCGACGAUCGGUAGCCGGACUGAGAGGUUGAACGGCCACAUUGGGACUGAGACACGGCCCAGACUCCUACGGGAGGCAGCAGUGGGGAAUAUUGCACAAUGGGGGAAACCCUGAUGCAGCGACGCCGCGUGGAGGAAGAAGGUCUUCGGAUUGUAAACUCCUGUUGUUGGGGAAGAUAAUGACGGUACCCAACAAGGAAGUGACGGCUAACUACGUA
rnacentral:rRNA from 1 species